rnacentral:rRNA from 1 species
UACGUAGGGUCCGAGCGUUGUCCGGAAUUACUGGGCGUAAAGAGCUCGUAGGUGGUUUGUCGCGUUUGUUCGUGAAAACUCACAGCUCAACUGUGGGCGUGCGGGCGAUACGGGCGGACUUGAGUACUGCAGGGGAGACUGGAAUUCCUGGUGUAGCGGUGGAAUGCGCAGAUAUCAGGAGGAACACCGGUGGCGAAGGCGGGUCUCUGGGCAGUAACUGACGCUGGAGGAGCGAAAGCGUGGGGAGCGAACAGG